UCCAGACUUUGAUCAUGGCUCAGGAUGAACGCUAGCUACAGGCUUAACACAUGCAAGUCGAGGGGAAACGAUAUUGGAAGCUUGCUUCCGAUAGGCGUCGACCGGCGCACGGGUGAGUAACGCGUAUCCAACCUGCCCACCACUUGGGGAUAACCUUGCGAAAGUAAGACUAAUACCCAAUGAUAUCUCUAGAAGACAUCUGAAAGAGAUUAAAGAUUUAUCGGUGAUGGAUGGGGAUGCGUCUGAUUAGCUUGUUGGCGGGGUAACGGCCCACCAAGGCGACGAUCAGUAGGGGUUCUGAGAGGAAGGUCCCCCACAUUGGAACUGAGACACGGUCCAAACUCCUACGGGAGGCAGCAGUGAGGAAUAUUGGUCAAUGGGCGAGAGCCUGAACCAGCCAAGUAGCGUGCAGGAUGACGGCCCUAUGGGUUGUAAACUGCUUUUAUAAGGGAAUAAAGUGGGAGUCGUGACUCCUUUUGCAUGUACCUUAUGAAUAAGGACCGGCUAAUUCCGUGCCAGCAGCCGCGGUAAUACGGAAGGUCCGGGCGUUAUCCGGAUUUAUUGGGUUUAAAGGGAGCGUAGGCCGGAGAUUAAGCGUGUUGUGAAAUGUAGACGCUCAACGUCUGCACUGCAGCGCGAACUGGUUUCCUUGAGUACGCACAAAGUGGGCGGAAUUCGUGGUGUAGCGGUGAAAUGCUUAGAUAUCACGAAGAACUCCGAUUGCGAAGGCAGCUCACUGGAGCGCAACUGACGCUGAAGCUCGAAAGUGCGGGUAUCGAACAGGAUUAGAUACCCUGGUAGUCCGCACGGUAAACGAUGGAUGCCCGCUGUUGGUCUGAAUAGGUCAGCGGCCAAGGGAAAGCAUUAAGCAUCCCACCUGGGGAGUACGCCGGCAAGGGUGCAACUCAAAUGAAUUGACGG
rnacentral:rRNA from 1 species